CUUUGGGGUUCCUGGUUCCAGGACUUGACUCUUGGAUGGCAUUUCGUGACCUGCCCUGGACCAAAGAGGUGCCCACUACCCUGAAGGAAUUGCAGAAUGAACAAGAAUUUCCCAACCAACUAUCUGCUGCUUUCAAGAGUCUCACCUGCCACAAAAUGACUCACAUAAACUUAAGUGACAACAGUGAAUAGCAGAAGGAAGAAUAAUACAAUUUUUA
rnacentral:lncRNA from 1 species